GACGAACGCUGGCGGCGUGCUUAACACAUGCAAGUCGAACGGGUCUGCCCUGUUUUUUGCGGGGUGGGUCAGUGGCGAACGGGUGAGUAACACGUGAGUAACCUGCCCCUCACUUCUGGAUAACCGCUUGAAAGGGUGGCUAAUACGGGGUGUUCUGGCUGUGCCGCAUGGUGUGGCUGGGAAAGAUUCACUUUUGUGGUGUUUUGGUGGGGGAUGGGCUCGCGGCCUAUCAGCUUGUUGGUGGGGUGAUGGCCUGCCAAGGCUUUGACGGGUAGCCGGCCUGAGAGGGUGGGCGGUCACACUGGGACUGAGAUACGGCCCAGACUCCUGCGGGAGGCAGCAGUGGGGGGUAGUGCACAAUGGGCGGAAGCCUGAUGCAGCGACGUCGCGUGAGGGAUGGAGGCCUUCGGGUUGUGAACCUCUUUCGCUGGUGAAGAAGGUCCUGCUCUUUGUGGUGGGGUUGACGGUAGCCGGGUUAUGAAGCGCCGGCUAACUACGUG
rnacentral:rRNA from 1 species